rnacentral:lncRNA from 1 species
CAUUAGAAUAAGAAGCCCCGAGUGCCUUCACAGUGUCUAUCUGCCUCCACCCUGAGCCGUCCUGACAAAUGGCUCUUCAUCCAGAGGUCAUCGUCAGAGGACCGCCUUCCAUUUUCUUGUGCAAUACAUUUCAGUUCACCCCGCACCAUGUUCAACUCAAAACUGCCCAUUUCCUCUUAGAAUUUCCUACCGAUUCUCUGAGUAGGCCUAAAAUCUGGCCCAACUGUCACAGUUCUUUAAAGGUAGAGGCCAUGGUUUGAAAGUAUCCCUUAAAAGCUCAUGUGUUAAUACAUCAGUAUCUAAGUUCCUAUGCUCAUAUUUGGAGGUUGAGCUUUGGGAAGCAAUUAGGAUUAGGUGAGGUUAUGAGAUUGGGGCCUUCAUGAUGGCACAAGUGGCUGUAUCAAAACAGGAACAGAGACUUGAGAUAGCAUGCUCGCUCUGUCUCACCAUGUGAUGCCCUAGGCCAUGCUAUGAUGCAGCAGGAAGGCCCUUACUAGAUGGUGAGCAGAUCCUGGCACCGUGUGCUUAAACUUCCCAGCUCUAGCACUAUAAGCUGAAUAAACCUCUAG